AAACCUACAAAAAUGAAAACAAACCCUCAAGAAGGGCAGAUGCUUGCGGUCUUGUGAGAAAUACAGGUCUUCCAUGCCAGAAUCUGAGAAAUUCACCCCAUGAAAUCUCCCCACUGAAUACAGAGAAAAUGGACAGAAACUGAAAUGAGGAUUUUGUGGCAAGGAAUGGUGGUGCUUUCCCCCUAGAUAAUUUGAGGCAUCACUGAAGUUCUUCACAGAGCUGUUCUAACAGGACAAAUGUGUGUGGGUCACCAGGUAUCUUGCACGAAAGAAGGAAGAAGAGAUCCCUGAUGACUUCACAAAUGUCCACCUGGAAGCCCUUAGAUGCUGCCACGGUUACUGGAAGGUUUAAAUGCCAUCUAUGCUUUUAAACCCACUCACCUCCAGUUAAACACCCACUCAAGCUGCCUGCACUGACAAUGUCCUUCAGCAGCGAGUUCUCCACAUCAGUCAUCCUUGAUGCAGGAUGAGUUCUCCAUGCUGCUCUCUUGGGGACCUGCUCCUUCCUCUGUUUGUUUUUAUGUCAAGAUGGUGUGAAUCUGUGUCUUCCUCCUCCCUUUACCAAGUACAGAUGGAACUCCUGAAGCUUGUCUCCCUCCCGUUUAAGAAUCAAGUGUAGGGGUUUAAGGAUGCUGGGUGGAAGUGAAUGCUGAGAGAGAUGGAGACAAGGCUGAGUACAUUUUACAGAGGAAAAAUGUGCCUUUCUCUUUUGGCUGUUGACUGAAAAUUUUGAUGAUAAAUAAAGCAUGGUGAGUUAAUUCCCAAACUGCAGUGACAGCUGGGCAGGAAAGACAAGACUAGGUCUGUUUUCUGGUUCCCCAUCCCUGAUAAGAGGUUUACAAAAAUCAUCUGAUACCUCAUCCUGGUUUUGUCAGGGGAAUUUUUUCCUGUGCACUGGGAUUUGAUUUGCUGAUAGUAAAGUCUAGAUACAGUCUCAUGAACCUGGUGAUCCAAACUGCAGUUUCUAUUGAGUAUAAUUGAUUUGGACAGCCUGAGGCUGGUUAUCAUCUGUUUAACAGUAAGGAGGAAACAUUCAGAGCAGGGUUUAGUUCAACCUAGGGAGAUCCCAAGCAAGGAGAGGCAGACUCAGGUACUCUCUCCACUAUGAGACAGAGAGUGGCAAACUGGAGUGGGUUCAGUGGAGGGCCAUGAAGAUGGCUAAGGAGUUGUAGCACAUAACAUGUAAGGAGAUGCUGAGAGUGCUGCCUUUGUUUAGCCUGCAGGAAAGCAAUUUAAGGGGAAACUGACUGGUGAGGCAAUGGGGGAUGUGUGUAGAGAAAAUGGAGCUGGACUCUUCCCAGAGGUGUGUGUCAAGGGCAACAGGCAGCAAAGACAAGUUGCAACUUGGAAAAUUUCAGCUCUGUAUGAAGGAAAACCAUAAACAUGAGGGCGGAUCUGAUGUGUGAUGGUGACCCAGAGGUAUUUUGGAGUCUGUCUCCCUUGAGACACUCAAAACUCAAGCAAGCAAGGUUCUGAGCUACCUGCUGUGGCCUUGAGCUUAUCCCUGCUUUGAACAGGGAUUUGGAUUGGAGCCUCCUGAGGUGCCUUUUGACACCAGUCAUUCUGUGGGCUCCCACUGGGGGCAGGUUCUGUGACGCACAGUGAAAUAGGGAGCCCACACGGUUCUCUCUUCUAGGAUGAAUCACAAGCAGAAAUAAUCUGUUGGCUUCUUUUACUGGAAAAAGCAUGACCCUACUGUGGACCAUCAGCUUCUGCACUUGGGGAGUUACGUCUGUGCAGUGAGCACAAAAGUGAUGGGGAUGGGGUCUGGGCAAGGGUUUGGAUGUCAGCAGGACAAGAAAUACAUAAUUUGCUACUUCCACACUGGGCAAGCCAUUAACUUGAGGAGAUUGGCUUUCCCAAGAGUGACAUCUGACUGGGAAUGAGGGAUGGGACUGAAAUAAUACAUUUUACAUCUCAGGCUUUCUCAAGGAGCAGAUUAAAAUAUAUAUGAUAGAGAAUGUCCUUCCCUUCCAAGUGGAGAAGAUGGUAGAGGGAAUACAAAAAGGUGAUAUUUCAGUUUUUGCAUCUGAAGUAACAAGAAAAGGCAUGAAAGUGGCUGGUACCUGAAAGCAGAGCAAUUUAUAAUUGGUUUUCCUGUGAAAGAAACCUUUUCACUACGUUCAAUAUUAUCAUCAUUAUACUAAUCAGCUUCACCAGCAAGGAGGAUAACUGAGAAUGAGAGAGAAAAUAUUGUAAGGGAUGUAGAAGAACACAUUCAAAAUAACUGUGUUUUGGAGAAGAUUUGCCAACAAGUGAUUACAGAGGGAAAGACAGAAGGUGAGACAGAGACCAGAAGAAAAAGUGGAGAAGAGAAAAUGACAGGGUGGAGGAGAGUGGGAGAAAAGAAAAUGUCUAUAAUUUCUGUAAAUCUCUGCAUCCUGUUCCUUCACACACAGAAGUAUCCUCUCCUCCCUCAGCUGUGCUGAGUACUUCCCCUGGCACCAUUCUGGUGGCACUCUGUUUCUUCUGAUGAUCAGCUGAGGGGCUUCAGCCCAUAACUUCUGCUCCACAUUCCUACCUGCAAUUCCCAGCUCCCACCCUCCUCUCCACCUCCCCAGCCAAGCACUCUGCUUUAGAACAGAGUGUUGGUGCCACAUCUCCUUCUGACAGCCACACCAGGGUGCAACAGAAGCUUCCUCUCUUACUGGGCUGAGGUUUUACUGGCUGGGAAGAUUUAACCCUGUGUCAGCUGAUGUGAAGGAGCUUUCCAAGAUAAGGAAUAAAUGCCUACUUUGCUAACAUUAGCAAGAGGUGGUUUUUGCCUCACUGAUUUGAGCAAGAGCAAACUGCUUUGCUCUCUGAGCAAACUCCCAUGUAGUCCCUUGUCACCCCACACUUCUGUAGUGAUUCAUGUGACACUGUGUGAAAACAACCUGUGACACUUGUCCUUGCUGUCCGGGUUGGCAUUGCAAAGUAUUGCAUUUAACCUUGCCUUUCCCAAGUGAGGUCUUCUAGUAGCAGCCAGGGCAGAGGUGCUGAGAUCUCUAGCAGAGGUGUCAGAGCCAGGUGAUGGUGAUGCUUUCCCUCAGCACGUGCUCUGCCCCUUCACCUGCAAACCCAGGCUGCUUGUGCACCUGCACACAUCCAGGCUGGUGGGGAUGGCAGCACUGCAUCCUCAAGCAGCCAUUCCCUCGUCCUCCCUUCCCUCUGCCUGCCAGAAACAGAUCGCCAUGGGCUGCUUUCCUCUCACACCCCUGGCUGUUCUAACAUAUCCUCAGGGAAAGUGUAAGACUGGCUGUGGCGAUGAGAUUGUGAUCUUUCCUUUUUUUUAUUUUUUUUAAAAAUUGUCAGUGGAGUUUCCCUUGCCAUUUUCAGCAGAUCUAAAAAAAACCCCUUCAUCGAAUAUUCAGCAUCUUCCUGGAGCUCGGCGGUAGCCAGCGGGGGCUGUGGGUACGCAGGGGAUGACUCACGAGUCCUGGCUUGUUCUCGGGCCCCCAAGACUCCUCUGCUUCUCUCCCUUUCUCUCAGCCAGCAGUUUGUGCUGAUUGGCCUGUGGCUGCCAACUCUGACGGGGAUCUAGUCCAGCAGAGCUGGGAAGAGGGAGGCAAGAGGCACGGCUUGCAGGCUGUGGGGAUGGAAUGGGAAGGGAAGUUUUUACUGGAGUGUGGGGAUUACUGAAGGAGGGUGCCUGGAGGCUUUGCAUGAAAUACUGGGGGUGGCCUAGGGAAGAAAUGUGACUGGCAGAUGUGGUGAUUCAAAAGACCCUUAUUCAAAACCACCUGUACAGAUCCCCCUCAGCUACCCCAGGCAGCCCCCCCAUCCCCUCCCACAAGCUCAUUCCUAACAGAACCUGAGCCAGCGCUGGCUCAUUUUCACACCCUGUUGUUUGGUCAUUGACUAAAUUAAAUUUCAAUUACUUUUUUCUUAUUAAAAAAACUGGUGAGAACAGCAGCUUUUAAUUGGAAGCAGCUACUUGGCCUGUUGCAGCAGUGAAGGGUGUGCAGGUGGUUUGAUGAGGAGGAGGAGGCAGGGGAGGUGCUGAGUCAUAGGAGGAACCUUUUUGUGGACACGUGAGAGUGCACAGGAGUGGCUGGGUGUCUCUUCAGGGGAUGUGGCAUGACCUGCUGUGCUCCUUCCCAGGAAGGGAUGCUAAAAA